rnacentral:tRNA from 1 species
GGGCUUGUGGUCUAGGGGUAUGACGUCUGCUUCGCACUGUUAGAAUAGUGUAUGCUGAAGGUCCGGGGUUCAAUUCCCCGCAAGUCCA